CCUACGGGAGGCAGGUCGACGAUUCCCUGAUCUAGCCAUGCCGCGUGAGUGAUGAAGGCCCUAGGGUUGUAAAGCUCUUUCAGCUGGGAAGAUAAUGACGGUACCAGCAGAAGAAGCACCGGCUAACUCCGUGCCAGCAGCCGCGGUAAU
rnacentral:rRNA from 1 species